GACGAACGCUGGCGGCGUGCUUAGCACAUGCAAGUCGAACGGUAAGGCCCUUCGGGGUACACGAGUGGCGAACGGGUGAGUAACACGUGGGUGAUCUGCCCUGCACUUCGGGAUCAGCCUGGGAAACCGGGUCUAAUACCGGAUAGGACUCCGGACUGCAUGGUCUGGGGUGGAAAGCUUUUGCGGUGUGGGAUGGGCCCGCGGCCUAUCAGCUUGUUGGUGGGGUGAUGGCCUACCAAGGCGACGACGGGUAGCCGGCCUGAGAGGGUGACCGGCCACACUGGGACUGAGAUACGGCCCAGACUCCUACGGGAGGCAGCAGUGGGGAAUAUUGCACAAUGGGCGCAAGCCUGAUGCAGCGACGCCGCGUGAGGGAUGACGGCCUUCGGGUUGUAAACCUCUUUCAGCAUCGACGAAGCGAAAGUGACGGUAGGUGCAGAAGAAGGACCGGCCAACUACGUGCCAGCCGCCGCGGUAA
rnacentral:rRNA from 1 species